rnacentral:rRNA from 1 species
UACGAAGGGUGCAAGCGUUAAUCGGAAUGACUGGGCGUAAAGGGCGCGUAGGCGGUUUGGUUCGUUAGGUGUGAAAUUCCUGGGCUCAACCUGGGGACUGCGUUUAAUACAGCCAGACUUGAGUGUGGAAGAGGGUCGUGGAAUUCCCAGUGUAGAGGUGAAAUGCGUAGAUAUCGGGAGGAACACCAGUGGCGAAAGCGGCGCACUGGACCACAACUGACGCUGAGGCGCGAAAGCUAGGGGAGCAAACAGG